UACGGGGGGGGCAAGCGUUAUUCGGAAUCAUUGGGCGUAAAGGGCGCGUAGGCGGCUUGGCAAGUCAAAGGUGAAAUCCCUCGGCCUAACCGAGGAACUGCCUUUGAUACUGCUUGGCUUGAGGCCGGGAGAGGGUAGCGGAAUUCCCAGUGUAGCGGUGAAAUGCGUAGAUAUUGGGAGGAACACCAGUGGCGAAGGCGGCUACCUGGACCGGUUCUGACGCUGAGGCGCGAAAGCGUGGGGAGCAAACAGG
rnacentral:rRNA from 1 species